rnacentral:lncRNA from 1 species
UGACAGAAGUGGUACUGCUAGCCUAACCGAGGGAAAUCAAGGACAUACUAGUCCUAGAGAAACGAGCAUGGGACUGUUCCAGUUUGUCUCUGCUUUGAAACUUGCUUUCCCUGCAUCUGAAAGUCAAGAAUGAGACAGCAUCCUAAACAGAAGACUAGGAGAGAAGCUAAACUGAAAUGUGGAUGUUUUGGGAGUCAGAAAGGAAACUUAUGAGUUGCAGUUUCUACAAGUGGCUAAUGCAGGGUCUGUACAUCCUAUCACUUUAACAGAAACUAAGUGAAAUUGCUACACAGCAAAGAGAAGUGACCAGAUAAGUUGCUGAAAUAAAAAUUCC